rnacentral:tRNA from 1 species
CCCCUGGUGGCUCAGCUGGUAAAGAAUCCGCCUGCAAUGCGGGAGACCUGGGUUCGAUCCCUGGCUUGGGAC